UCUUUGGUAGCUCAGUUGGUAGAGCAUGAGACUCUUACUCUCAGGGUUGUGGGUUCGAGUCCCAUGCUGGCCAAAAGAU